GGGGCAGUAGCUCAGUUGGGAGAGCAUCGGCUUUGCAAGCCGGGGGUCGUGGGUUCGAAUCCCAUCUGCUCCACCA
rnacentral:tRNA from 1 species